UACGGAGGUGGCGAGCGUUGUCCGGAUUUACUGGGCGUAAAGGGAGCGUAGGCGGACUUUUAAGUGAGAUGUGAAAUACUCGGGCUCAACUUGAGUGCUGCAUUUCAAACUGGAAGUCUAGAGUGCAGGAGAGGAGAAUGGAAUUCCUAGUGCAGCGGUGAAAUGCGUAGAGAUUAGGAAGAACACCAGUGGCGAAGGCGAUUCUCUGGACUGUAACUGACGCUGAGGCUCGAAAGCGUGGGGAGCAAACAGG
rnacentral:rRNA from 1 species